rnacentral:rRNA from 1 species
AGAGUUUGAUCCUGGCUCAGGAUGAACGCUAGCGGCAGGCUUAAUACAUGCAAGUCGAGGGGCAGCAGGGGUAGCAAUACUCGCUGGCGACCGGCAAACGGGUGAGGAACAUGUACGCAACCUUCCUUUAACUGGAGGAUAGCCCCUCGAAAGAGGGAUUAAUACUCCGUAACAUAAUGAAGUGGCAUCACUUUAUUAUUAUAGCUCCGGCGGUUAAAGAUGGGCGUGCAACUGAUUAGAUAGUUGGCGGGGUAACGGCCCACCAAGUCUGCGAUCAGUAACUGGUGUGAGAGCACGACCAGUCACACGGGCACUGAGACACGGGCCCGACUCCUACGGGAGGCAGCAGUAAGGAAUAUUGGUCAAUGGACGCAAGUCUGAACCAGCCAUGCCGCGUGGAGGAUUAAGGCCCUCUGGGUUGUAAACUCCUUUUAUCUGGGAAGAAAUGUGUUUUUUCUAAAACACUUGACGGUACCAGAGGAAUAAGCACCGGCUAACUCCGUGCCAGCAGCCGCGGUAAUACGGAGGGUGCAAGCGUUAUCCGGAUUCACUGGGUUUAAAGGGUGCGUAGGCGGGCAGAUAAGUCAGUGGUGAAAUCUUCGAGCUUAACUCGGAAACUGCCGUUGAUACUAUUUGCCUUGAAUAUUGUGGAGGUAAGCGGAAUAUGUCAUGUAGCGGUGAAAUGCUUAGAUAUGACAUAGAACACCAAUUGC